UACAGAGGGGGCAAGCGUUGUCCGGAAUCAUUGGGCGUAAAGAGCUCGUAGGUGGUCUGUUACGUCUGCUGUGAAAUCCUAGGGCUUAACCCUGGGCCUGCAGUGGAUACGGGGCAGACUAGAGGUAGGUAGGGGGAGAAUGGAAUUCCCGGUGUAGCGGUGAAAUGCGCAGAUAUCGGGAGGAACACCGGUGGCGAAGGCGGUCACUGGC
rnacentral:rRNA from 1 species